GAAAUAAUAUGUAAGACACUCAAAAUUUUUUUUUAUUAGGCUAAAUUGCCCAAAUUUCAUUGUAUAUGUACAUUUCAUACCAACAGCGGAACAAGACAUGGCCCUCUCUAGUCUCUACAAAACCGGGACCGAACUGUACUCACUGUAAAAAUCACCCUCGUCAGAAGCCGCCAGUAACCGUUGACUAAACUCUUCUUGCAUCUCAUCCGGCACGAACGUAGUUCUACAAAGCGGACACGUGUUCCUAUCAUGAUCCAUCCAACGGUCCAAACAAGCCCGGUGGAAAAUGUGCUUACAAUUCUUCAGCCAUCUGAUCUCGGCAUCUCCCUCAAACUCAUACAAACAAACGGCACAACUCUCCGGCAGCUCAACUUCGCUGUCUCCGGGGACCAAAUCGUCGAACUUUAUUACGGGUAGAAUUUCCCGGAUCAGGUCGGCGGAAACUAGUGUGUGGCCCUGGAUUGGGGUCGGAUUGUCCGGCCAAACGUUAUCAGUUUCAAGGAAAUCUGAGAGACCCAGAUAGUUAAAAAGGCAAAGAAUGAGGCUUCUGAUAAAACCGAGAAAGGAUAGUGUGUGCACGAACAGCUUUGGCAAGAGAACUUCCGUGUACCCAACAGGAAAUCCCAUUUAGCU
rnacentral:misc_RNA from 1 species